UGGCGAGGCGGCCUUCUUUUGCAUCUCACACGGACCGGCAUCUCUACAGAUAAGUCGAUGGCUAUGACCCACAGAGGGGAUGAUAGUGGGGUGCUGGGUUGGGACUUACAGGGAGGGAUUUUUGAGUCUGCUUUGGUGAUGGGGAUGUCCAAGAAGUGGCCCCUUAGGCCACACAAAAGCCAAGCGUCACUUUUGAUCCCAGUGCUGAGGUGCGCAGGGCAGAGCAGUCCUGGAGUGUAUCGUGUCAGUUAUCUAUUGUGCGUUCUGUGUGUUUGGCUUUCUCAUGUCUUUUACCUUAGCCCUUUGAGGGGCCUAUCAGAAACUCUGGCAUCAUUCUUAGCAUCUGUGAUCUCUGCAUUUCUUGGCCUGGCACCAAUGCCACAGGACUUUUGACUCGGGAGCUCGGACAGGCUUCAGAAUUGCACCUCUCUUUAGAAGCAUCCAGUCAGAUGUCUUUGCAGGUCUUGUUCUGAGCUGUAUGGACAGCUGUGCCUUGCAAGGAUCUAUUAUUGGGGAUUAGGACUUGUAAGAAUGUGAGGAUAGGUAGAGGAUGCUGACCGUAGGAGUCACAGGCAUCCAUCUUUGCAGUUCUUAAAAGAAAUCAUUCAGUUAGCAUCAUUUUCCUCCACGGUUCUCUGAGCCUCAUCGGCUCACCAUCGGUCUCACCUAUGUCCUCUCAUUUUGCAUUCUCUGGGUCCUUGCAGUCAUUCCUCUUGCCAAGAGAUUCCUGUCCCUGUUGUGUUCCCCUUGUUUGUCCUGUCCUGUUCUGUGUCACUGGUGUCUGCACGUGUUUGUGUCAGAGCUGCUCUGCCUUGCUGCAUAGUCUGGUGUAAUAGGACAAAUCCUGGGGGCUUGAAAUUUGUAAUGUGGGCUGUAGUUGGACUCUAGAUGAUAUUCCUAGGCUGACCCAGAUGGCUGGAGCUGUGAAGUGGUCCUGCAGCCCUUUGACAUUUUUCCAACUUUCUUUCAGAUGCAGAUGGAUAAAAUCCAUGGCAGAGCACCCCAUCCCAGGAAGUAAAGCAAUAUAGCAACAGUCAAGUUGAAGUGGUCAAGGCAAUCCACUCAGGUUAUGCCAAGCCCCUGUCACCAACUGGUCAAUGGACCAGGUUUGCUGCUCUCAUGAGCCUGUGGAGGUAUUGCGGGACCCUGCGAUGAAGCCUUCAAAUUUUCUAUUUAAAGGUUGCUUCUGGGUAGCCCUCAGGAAUGGCCAAGGAGCCAUGGUGAGUUGGGGGGGUAUCGAGGAGGAGCUGGGGUCCGCUCAGUUCUCAGCUAUCCUACAUCACUUCAUCUCCUCUUUACCCAGGCGUACCCUGCGACGACAGCGUCGGUCUCAGAGCACGGCCGAAGCGUGCGGGCCGAGGACCCGGUCAUUCUUAGGAGGCGUUGAGUAGCAGAAUUUUUGGGUUUUGGUCGAUAUGCUGCUAAGAUGAUGCACUGAUGUCUGGUUUCCUUUAUCUUGACCGACUAGGAGACAGCAGCCCGGUGACAGCAGGAACCUCCCAGACAGCCUGGUGGCCUUGCUUUGCACCUGAUGUGGAUUCUCAUUCCUGGACAGCCAAGAGAUAAGUUGAGGGCUGUGACUUACAGAGGGGAUGGAAGGGGGUUGCUGUGUCAGGACUCACCAGGAGGGAUUUUUGAGUCAGCUUUGGAGCUGAGGAUAUCCAGGAAAUGUUGUCUUGAGGCCACACAAAAGCAGAGUGUCACUUUUGGUCCCAGAGCUGAGCAGAGGAGGGCAGUCCCGGUGUGUUUUGUCAUGUGACUAUUGUGCAUUGUGUUGUGUGGCUGUCUCAUGUCUUUUACCUUAGCCCUUUGAGGGGCCUAUCAGUAACCCUGGCAUCAUUCUUAGCAUCUGUGAUCUCUGCAUUUCUUGGCCUGGUACCAAUGCCACAGGACAUUUGACUCAGGAGCUUGGACAGGCAUUGGAAUUGAAUUUCUCUUUAGGAGCAUCCAGUCAGAUUUUCUGCAGGUCUUGUUCUGAGCUGUACAUACUGCUGUGCAUUGUAAAGAUCCAUUAUGGCAGAUUAGGGCUUGUAAGAAUGCAAGGAUAGGUAGAGGAUUCUGGCCGUAGGAUUCUCAGACAUCCAUCUUUGUAGUUCUUGGAAUAAACCAUUCUCUUAGCAGAUUCUUCCUCCAGGGUUCUCUGAGCCUCAUCGGUCUCACCUCGGUCAUCUAAUCUUGCGUUCUCUCAGUCCUUGCAGUCAUUCUUGCCAAGAGAUUUCUGUCCUUGUUGUGUCCCCCUUGUUUGUCCUGUCCUGUCCUGUGUCACGGGUGUCUGCACAUAUUUGUACCGGAGCUGCUCUGCCCUGCUGCCUAGUCUGGUGUAAUAGGACAAAUCCUGGGGGCUUGAAAUUCGUAGUGUGGGCUGUAGUUGGAUUAUAGAUGGGAUUUGUAGAUGGACCCAAGAUGUCUGGAGCUGUGAAGUUAUCCUGCAGCCCUUUGACAUUUGUCCUCACUUGCUUUUAGAUACAGGCGGAUAAAAUCCAUGGCAGAGCACCCCAUCCCAGGAAGUAAAACCACAUAUCAGAAGUCAAGGCGGGGUGGUCAAG